GACCCAUUUCAUGACUUCAAAUGAAACAAUUUUGAAUACAAAGUUGUUAGAAAUCAUCAAGAUAUACAAUUGAUACAUUGUCUAUUUUAACAUUUGGAUAAAUUUUAGCCAAUCCUAGGCACAUGUUGCAACACCCAAAAUUUGAAUUUCAAUUAAUAGGAUUUAAUUUGAAUUAUUUAAGAAUUUUAGUGAGCAUUUAAUGUAGCAAAUAAACAUUUUUUUUGUGGAAAUUUAAAAUUUAUCAUAAGCUUAGUAACAUGAUUUUGUGCAUUCAUGCUGAGACAUAUUUUUUUUUGUGGUGAUUGUAUUUGGUUUAUAUUUAAUUGUCCUCAAAAUCCUUUCUAAAAAAAAACUUUGAAAAAAAAAUAAAACAAAACAGAAAAGAAAUUGGAAAUAGGAAAAAAAAAAAGAAGCCUCCCAGGCCGCAGCCCGAGCAUCCCCUUCCCCUCGCCUCGGCCCAGCGCGGCCCAGGAAGCCCGCGCGCUGAUCCCCUCCUUUCUGUGACUGGCAGCCUGGCCCCGCAGCGCAGUGUCCUGUUCAUCUUCCGAGCGUCACCGAGCAGACACCAACCGGAAGCCAAACCGAAUCGCUGGAAGUCGGGAUUUCUUCCCAAAAUCGUUUCCUCGGCGCCCUAUAAAGCUCCCUAGCACCGCAGCGAACCCCUUUUGCAUCUAAAACGCGAAGCCAAGCCUUAGCCACCUAAAACCGAGCGGUUUCGGAUCUCGCCGAAAGCCAACUCCAUCUCCGUACGCCGCGAGCCGUCUUCGUCAUCUCUCGGACCCAACCAAGCGCUUAGACGAGAUCGUGGUGAGCUCCUCUUCAUCCCGGUGUUUUCCUUUCGCGAAACGGUGCUCGGAAUCGAGAAGUCCGUCGUCGCCGGCGAGCUCCGAAACGGCCGGCAAUGGAGCCACCGCACCGGAGCUGGUGACGGCCGGUUGAAAAAAAAAAUACUUUUUCUGCUAUUUACAAGAUUGCCACUGAUUUUGUUUUGCUCAUAAAAUAUUCGUUUUAACUCCGUUUUUAUCCAUUCAAAUUGCGU
rnacentral:lncRNA from 1 species